rnacentral:lncRNA from 1 species
UUGAUCGGGUUUAGAAAGUGAUCGUGCCACUUUGCAGGGACUGAAUGUAAUAAUUCCUUGCGGCAGGGCUUGAACAAGUCUCGACAGGGCAGGCCGUGUUCGAUGGUAUGGUUAUUAUUACAAAUUACAACUUUCACAGUUUAUAUAUUACAAAAAUAUCUGCUAUCGUUAUAAGUGAUCACACAUCUGAACUAGAAACUGCACGAGAUUAGUUCAUUCAACAUGAACAUAUUACAAACAGCACCCUGCCAAACUCAAAUAUCACCGAAUUAUUCCUUGUAGUUUAGGAAUCAGCAGAUUUUUUGAUACAGCGCUGCCUGCCAACACCAUUCAUUUCCCUGCUCACAAAACAAAUCUUCUAUGGCAGCCAUGGGGGUUACAGUGUUACACGUGGGUUCCAAGCGAGUCUCAUCUGCCAACCCACUAAUUACCAUGCUCUGGUGCUGUGAGCAGG